rnacentral:rRNA from 1 species
UACGGGGGGAGCAAGCGUUGUUCGGAUUUACUGGGCGUAAAGGGCGCGUAGGCGGCCACCGCAAGUCGACUGUGAAAUCUCCGGGCUUAACCCGGAACGGUCAGCCGAUACUGCGGGGCUAGAGUGCAGAAGGGGCAACUGGAAUUCUCGGUGUAGCGGUGAAAUGCGUAGAUAUCGAGAGGAACACCUGCGGCGAAGGCGGGUUGCUGGGCUGACACUGACGCUGAGGCGCGAAAGCUAGGGGAGCGAACGGGAUUAGAAACCCC